UAUAUUUCAUAUCAAAUUUACAUUUUUUGUGCUAUUUUGAGUUAUUUAUUUAAUGCAUAUACAUGAUGUAUCCCCUAAACUAAUUUUUUUUUAAAUCUCAUUUAUUACAUCUUAUGUGGAAUUGAAGAACAUAAAUGAAAAUAUUUUAUGUAACUAUGUAUUUGUCUAACUGAAUUUAGUGCAGGAAGUAUUAUCAUAGAUGGAGCGUGGAAAUCGACGUCGCCUUAAAUAUACUUCUAACACUAAGUCUCGAGCUCCCCCCAAGAAUAUGAAUAAUCAUACUAAAACCACUAUUAGGGUUG
rnacentral:lncRNA from 1 species